AACAAACCUACAAAUAUUUGCACAUAGAAAUAACAGCAAAAGCAAAAACCAAUAACCAAACUAACAAAAAAACAGAAACAAGUCAAAACAGUGAAACAUUAGAAAAGACACAACACAUCAAUCAUACAGGCGAUAGAUUGAAAUGAGAUAUGUUGACUUCUGAACUUUUUUAUGUAUACACACAUACAUAUACAUUCAUACACACUCAUGCAAUAUUUGAGAAGAACUGAAAAGAGGGGUCUCACAGGAACAUCGGGGGGUCAGGCAAGAGACCCCCUCCACCUGACCCACGGCCCCCAUCAGCAGCUGACAGCCACAUCAGGAUACAGACUGGACGGGUUAGAUUAGAUUUCUUUCACUUGAUUGAGAAGGUUGUGGAUUGUUGUUGAUUAUAUUUAUUUUGGAUUUAACUAUUUUUUUUAAAUUGUUGAUAUCGGAGGAACUGGUCCCUCCCAACCCGUAUUUCUGGAUGAAUGUAUUGAAUGAUAUAAAUUGGUCGUUUUAAGGAGA